GUCACAUAGAUUAGAGCUGGUAACUUGUUUUUACCAUCUGGUGUGUGACUGAGAAUGGGUUACUUAGCUUCUCCGAAGCCCUGUUCCCUGUCCAAUGAUCUCAUGGAGCACUAGAAGGGGUAUGGGUGUUUCUGUGUAGUAGGGACUCUAAGUUUCUGCCUUAACUCUGAUGCAAUGGUGGAAGGAAGGAGUAGGAAGAAGCAAGAGUCUGGUGUGAAGCCAGAGUGUAGAUACCCCUCUCCUACCACGGCAUGGGCAUGGACCUGGGUCUCCAGGAGAAGGUGUGUGGACAUAACUGGGAGGACUGGUUGCCCAGAUGCCAGUAAAACACAGAGUUUCCUGUCCAAGAAUCUUGGAUAUAAAGCUGUGUCAUCUGCUCUGCUGCUGAUAAGCAUGGUCUCAGAUGUCCACAGAUACACCCUAGUGGCUCAGCUAUGUCUCCCCACGUCUCAGAACAUGAAGAAAAUAUGAGAUGCCGGCACCAAUGCAUGUUGUAUUGUUUCUGACUCCAUUAGGAGAGAGAAAGAAACUGUGCAGGGGAAACCGACUUAGUGUCAGAGGCAGCUGAGCAGCCAGAAGAAGCCUUGUGACCUGGAGACCCCCACCACACUCAGCCAUUUGGACAGGCACGAGUCAUUGCACGAAUGGCUGCCUGGCAGUUUGGAGUCUGCAGCUUUGCAUGUGGCAACGAGCAGCCUUGAUCUGUGAGCAGCACCUGUCUUACACACAGAGAAGAAACGAGGAAUCCUACCUUGCAAAGAUACGAAAGGUGUUUAUGUAGAGCCAGGUGACAACGUGACUACGUGGGGAUUUGAACCCUGUUCCAAACAGUUAUCGGGGAACUGUCUUUCUCUUCCUUGUUCCUGUGGCUCUGGACAUAAUUUUCAAGGGUUGGCGGGUAGGAGGGCUUCUUGAGGGAACUGAGUCUGAGGCUUAAACCUGCCUUAAUGCUCCAUCUGGCUCUCUCCCUACUUCCCCUCCCACAUAGAUCAGGAUUCUGUCUUUUACUAAGUCUCUGUGGCCAGUGCAGAAUAGAUUCCACGUUUGGACUUAGCUAGGUGUGAUCCUAUCUAUACAAGACCUCCAUUAAUCACAAUCAGCCCCAUGUUACCAUGAAACCAGCAGUGCAUGGGAGAUGGGCACUGGGUUAAUAGUAUUCUAUUCUCCCUUUGUCCAUUGCCAUCCCCUGUCUUGUCCUUCUUGUCCACUGGCAGGGGACAUACAACAGAGCUUCCAAAUAACAAGUCAGACAUGUGUUCCUCUCACAUGAAGUCUAGAUAGCCUGUUAGUCUAUACCAGUGGUUCUCAGCCUUCCUAAUGCUGUGCUCUUUUAAUACAGUUCCUCAUGUUGUGGUGACCCCCAACCAUAAACUUAUUUCAUUGCUAGUUCAUAACUGUAAUUUUGCUACUGUUAUGAACCAUAAUGUAAAUAUCUGAUAUUCAGUAUAUCUGAUGUGCAACCCCCCUGUGAAAGGCUCCUUCAACCUCCCAAAGGAGUUGAGAACUGCUGGUCUAGACUGUUAGACUGGACAAAUAGUCUAUUAGAGUUUGCAUGUGAAGUCUCUCUCCAAAGGCUCAUGUGUUGAAGGUUUGGUGCCUUUAGGCAGAGCAGGGCAGGAUUCUGUUGAACAUCUGGCUUCCCUUCCAGUGUCCUUCCUGAAAGCCUAUAUACUCAAGUGUGGAAUGAGUACCUGUCCAUGCUGGUCACCCCUUUUCAUAAAUUCUCCCUUGGAAGCUGGAUAGAUGGCUCAACAGUUCAUUCACCGCUCUUGCAAUGGACUGGAGUUCAAUUCCCAGAAACCGUAUCAGGUGACUCAAAUUGCCCAUAAAUCCAGCCCCAGGGGAUUCAAAGCCCACUUCUGGCCUUUGCAGGCACUUGCACUCAUGCUCACAUACCCACACACAGACACACUACAUAAAUACACAUGACUAGAAAUAAAAUAAAGUCCUUGUUGGCCGACUUACUCCUG
rnacentral:lncRNA from 1 species